rnacentral:tRNA from 2 species
GGGCGGGUACCCAAGUGGCCAAAGGGGGCUGACUGUAGAUCAGCUGCGCGAGUCGCUUCGGAGGUUCGAAUCCUUCCCCGCCCACCA